GCGAAAUGCCAGUCAGCUGUUCGCACAACCAAAAAGAAAAAUCGGUUUACGUGGAAGUGAUCAAAUAUUUGCCGAAAAAACGAUUAUUAUACUAAUUUAUUGUAACAAUUUUGAUUGUAGGAAAAAAUUGUGUUUUAUAUAAGAAUAGUAGCAUAAUGAUUGAAAUUACAGAUUUACAGAAAAUUGGAAUAGGUCUGGCUGGCUUUGGUGUCUCAUUCCUAUUUUUGGGUGUGCUAUUUCUGUUCGAUAAAGGAUUGCUGGCUAUUGGAAACUUGCUCUUCCUGAGUGGUCUUGCCUGUGUAAUUGGAGUACAACGUACAUUUAGGUUUUUCUUUCAACGACACAAAGUUAAAGGUACCACUGCGUUUUUUGGCGGGAUUUUCGUUGUACUUCUUGGUUUUCCAAUGAUUGGAAUGAUCAUUGAGCUAUACGGAUUCUUUGUGUUAUUUAGCGGAUUCUUCCCGGUGGCAGUCAACUUCUUAGGAAGAGUGCCAGUUCUAGGCUCUGUUCUAAAUACACCUGUAAUUCAAAAGCUUGUACAAAAACUCGGUGGGGACGCAAAUCGAACGACGGUAUAGUAGAACUCCAAUAAUCUCUGCUAAGGAUAAUUUUAAUAUAGUUUAUUCAUCCGUGAGCUUAAAUUUAAAGAGCGUUUUUGUAUAAAAAUAUCCAGAUUCCAUCUUCACAUGAAAAUACCCGAUUCAAAGGCGAUUUUUGUAUGUUUAAUUCGAAAACGUACAUAUGUAUUUCUGUAGUUUCUGGCUGCAACAAAGGUGAUGGCGAAUAGGGUAUAUGAGCGAGGUAUAUACUCUCUGUCAAAAAAUGAGGCAAAUAAAACCGAUGCAAAUAUAAUAUUUAAAAAAAUGUUUUUAACUUACCCAUAUCGUAAAAUUGUCCAAUAGUCCAUUUGAGUAGCCUUUGAAGAGGGAAAUCUAAAAGAUUUCGACGUAAUACUUGAACGAGUAAAUUAACUAGAUAAAUACAAAGCCGUAACUGCAAAAAAACAAAAAAAUAUAAAUAGGUAAAAAAUUAUAUAAGCUGAGGAAACUUACAGACGUAAAUACUACAUAAUAAACCAGUACAGUUGGAAAAAGGAAGAGUAGUGCUGUAAAGAAUAUAGUUGCAAGGUAUAGCUGGCGGGUGACGUAAUUAUGUGACUCUACGCGAUCUGAAGGUAAAAUAUAGUACUUUAAUUUUUGUUACAAAAUAUGGCUGACAAAUAUUUACUUUUAAGUACAUUGUAACGUUUUCCCAGCAUCACCUUCCAGAGCACUUGAAUGCCUUUGAUUUCCACCUUAUACAAUCUAAUAUAAUAAGUAUUUAAGUUAUUAUUAUUUGUGAUUAAAAUAAACUGGUGACUUACACUGCUGUAUAUAUAUAAAAGCAAUGUGCAUGUAGACCGAUUAUGGAUAUCAAAACUGGUAGCGAGGCCAAUUGAAAAGACAAUCCAAUUAAACCAAGUAAUGCAAUUGGAACGAAAAGUUGAAGCACGAUCGGCUCAAUCAGA